ensembl:snRNA U1 U1 spliceosomal RNA
ACACUGUCUUGUUACCUGGUACAUAUCAUGAAAAUUAAAGGUGGUUUCCCCAGAGUGAGACUUCUUCUUUGCACUUGGGAUGUGAUGAUCCCUGUGAUUUCCCCAAAUGUGAGGAACUUGACUGUAUAAUUUGUGGUAGUGGGGGACUACCUUUGCACUCUCCAC